ACAACAUGGCGUGGGCAUUUACAAAUGAGGUCCUUACAUCUCUCCCAUAUUUCAUAAAAUAAUUCUCUAUCCAUCUGGGAAAAACUAGUGAUGGUUUUCUUAAUUU